CACAAGCUCUAAAAGAUUCACUGUGCAGAACUGGAGGUUCUAGAGAAAGACCACGCCUCCUCCUACAGGUAACUCUUGAUUCAGGAAGCAGCUCUUGGCUUAUCCCUGGGCUUAGUGGAAUUCAAAUACCUGACCAUAGGACACCAAGGGCUUUGGGACCUGAAAGGCACAUCAUGUCCUGGUGACAUCUGAGUUACCUGGGGCAUGCACAGCCAGCCUCCAGCAUCCCAGGGAGAGCUGUGUAUGGGGUCAGGCUCAAGCAGGUCCCAGGGCACCAGUGACCCAAUGGGUGACUCAGACUCCCAUGGCACCUGCUCCUUCUGUUUCUCCCUCCACCAUAUAUAUGAGCUCAUGGGAAACACUGUGUGACCUCUUACAGAGGAGGAAAGUGCAUGGACUUCCAGUUUCUAGAACUGUGAUACAAUAAACUCCUGUUGCUUAUCUACUCCUCUACAGUAUUUUGUCAUGGCAGCCCUAGCAAACUACUACAGGGACUGUGAGGGUUAAGAUGACACCAAACAUCAAAUGCCACUCCCUGUUCCAACACUGAGACCAUUCCACAGCCUCUGAAUGACAAGACAGGCCUUCAAAAUCAAGACCACCUGGCUAGAUUCUGGAUAUUAGCCUUCUGUCAGAUGGAUAGAUUAAAGCUUGCAAGCUGAAACUCAACAACUUAUGUAAACUUCUGGAGAAAUCACAGCAACUUACAUAUAAACAACCCUUGUGCCUGCUGAUGUGUGGACUACAGAAAAGGUACACAUGAACACUGUAUUCAGACUGCAAUUUAGAGAAAUGUGUCAGAUUACCACUGCAAUUGGAAGAUGCUUCAGAAACUCUAGAAAACCUAGUCUAUAGACUGCUCCAGACAUUACAGGUGAGCCAAGAUACAACUGAAAGGGUUAGAGUGGUGUUUGCUAAACGAAUUGCUCUAAUUGAAGCAGCAGUUGUGUGACUUUAAUAAGGUUCCAGGAUUAUACUGUCCCUUUGUUGCUGUGACUUCCCUUUGCCCUUUUCUGAUUUGUCUUUAUCCCUUUUCCAUGGGACAUGACUUCUUAAGAAUGAGCCUUCCUAGUGAUGCAGGAUCAGAUGAAACUUACAGUCACAAAGUCAUGUCUUCUACAAUGUUUUGUCUGAAAGCUUUUGAAGAAUUGGGGGGCCAGCUGUGCUGGCACAGGCCUGUAAUCCCAGCACGUUGAGAGUCCAAGGCAGGAGGAUCACUUGAAACCAGGAGUUUAAGACCAGCCUGAGCAACAAAGGGAGACCAUGUCUCUGCAA
rnacentral:lncRNA from 1 species